GCUCGUAUAGUGUAGGUGGUUAUCACUGGUCGUUGUGGCCGACCCGACCGCUGUUCGACUCAGCGUGCGAGCA